rnacentral:rRNA from 1 species
CCUACGGGUGGCAGCAGUGAGGAAUAUUGGUCAAUGGGCGCGAGCCUGAACCAGCCAAGUCGCGUGAGGGAUGAAGGUUCUAUGGAUCGUAAACCUCUUUUGUCGGGGAGUAAAAUGUGGGACGUGUCCUAUUUUGUAUGUACCUUAUGAAUAAGGAUCGGCUAACUCCGUGCCAGCAGCCGCGGUAAUACGGAGGAUCCGAGCGUUAUCCGGAUUUAUUGGGUUUAAAGGGUGCGUAGGCGGCCUUUUAAGGCAGCGGUGAAAGUCUGUGGCUCAACCAUAGCAUUGCCGUUGAAACUGGUGGGCUUGAGUAUGUUUGAGGCAGGCGGAAUGCGUGGUGUAGCGGUGAAAUGCUUAGAUAUCACGCAGAACCCCGAUUGCGAAGGCAGCCUGCCAAGCCAUGACUGACGCUGAUGCACGAAAGCGUGGGGAUCAAACAGGAUUAGAUACCCCAGUAGUC